rfam:Vigna angularis cultivar Jingnong 6 chromosome 6, whole genome shotgun sequence.
AGGUGCGAUCAUACCAGCACUAAUGCAUCAGAACUCUGCAGUUAAGCGUGCUUGGGUGAGAGUAGUACUAGAAUGGGGACCUCCUGGAAAGUCCUCGUGUUACACCUC